GGCAGGACUAGGAGAGAGUAGAGGGGCUGGAGACAGGCUGCCAGAGGGCUCAGAACCCCAGCGCACCUCCCUGUCCUAACUCUGUCCACCUCCUGCUGUGGCCACAGCAACAGAAGAGACAGCUAAUAAGACAGGAAGUGAGGCCUGGUACCUUGUGGACAGUGGUGUCAUUAGCUGCGACGCCUAAGAUGACUCAAGAGAUGGGAGAGCUCACCCAAACUAGAUUGCAGAAGAUCUGGAUUCCACAUAGCAGCGGCAACAGUAGGCUGCAACGGAGGAGGGGCUCAUCCAUACCCCAGUUUACAAAUUCCCCCACGAUGGUGAUCAUGGUGGGUUUACCAGCUCGAGGAAAGACCUACAUCUCCACGAAGCUCACACGUUAUCUCAAUUGGAUAGGAACACCAACUAAAGUGUUUAAUUUAGGCCAGUAUCGACGAGAGGCAGUGAGCUACAAGAACUACGAAUUCUUUCUCCCAGACAACAUGGAGGCCCUACUUAUCAGGAAGCAGUGUGCCCUGGCAGCUCUGAAAGAUGUCCAUAACUAUCUUAGCCAUGAGGAAGGUCACGUUGCGGUUUUUGAUGCCACCAAUACUACCAGAGAAAGACGGUCUUUGAUUCUACAGUUUGCUAAAGAACACGGUUAUAAGGUCUUUUUCAUUGAGUCCAUUUGUAAUGACCCCGACGUCAUUGCAGAAAACAUCAGGCAAGUGAAGCUUGGCAGCCCUGAUUAUAUAGACUGUGACCGUGAAAAGGUUCUAGAAGACUUUCUAAAAAGAAUCCAGUGCUAUGAGGUCAACUACCAACCUUUGGAUGAUGAACUGGACAGCCACUUGUCCUACAUCAAGAUCUUCGACGUGGGCACACGCUACAUGGUGAACCGCGUGCAGGACCACAUCCAGAGCCGCACAGUCUACUAUCUCAUGAACAUCCAUGUCACACCCCGCUCCAUCUACCUAUGCCGGCACGGUGAGAGUGAACUCAACCUCAGAGGCUGCAUCGGAGGUGACUCUGGCCUCUCACCUCGGGGCAAGCAGUAUGCCUAUGCCUUGGCCGACUUCAUUAAGUCCCAGGCCAUCAGCUCCCUGAAGGUGUGGACCAGCCACAUGAAGAGGACUAUCCAGACAGCUGAAGCCCUGGGUGUCCCCUAUGAGCAGUGGAAGGCCCUGAAUGAGAUUGAUGCGGGUGUCUGUGAGGAAAUGACAUAUGAGGAAAUCCAAGAGCACUAUCCCGAAGAAUUUGCCCUACGAGACCAAGAUAAAUAUCGCUACCGCUAUCCCAAGGGAGAGUCCUAUGAAGAUCUGGUCCAGCGUCUGGAGCCAGUUAUAAUGGAGCUAGAACGUCAGGAAAAUGUAUUAGUGAUUUGCCACCAGGCUGUCAUGCGGUGCCUCCUGGCCUACUUCCUGGACAAGAGCUCAGGUGUCUCUCAGCUCUCUUCCUCCCUGCCCACCCUGCUGUCAACACUGCCCCCACAGUGUGUGUGGGGGAACAAGGCCCAGAUGAGCUGCCAUAUCUCAAGUGCCCUCUGCACACAGUGCUCAAACUUACACCUGUGGCUUAUGGCUGCAAAGUGGAGUCGAUCUACCUGAAUGUGGAGGCUGUCAACACACACCGGGAGAAGCCUGAGACCUCUCAGCCCCUGAGAGAAUCCUAGGCACAGCUCCACUGAUGCUCCUGCUCUUCAAGCAUUAUGAUCCACCCAUACCAGGAAUCCCUCCUUUGAGAACCACUCUACCAAGGCCAAGAAGAAGAGAUAAGCAAAACAGGUAUUUCACCAACUUAUUUGCCUGGGAGAACAGGAAUACAUGGGGAAAUCUCAGUAUGUUUUCAGAAAACUUGGAAGGAUGACAGAGAAGAGGACAGGUGAAGAAGAGAAAAGACUGGGCAACAUUGGAUUCUUACCCUUUCUUGCAAAAUGGCCACAUCUCGGGAUAGCGGAGGCCUCCGGCCCCAUGGGAUCCGCCUAUAAAUACCACCACCUCUCUCAUCCCCAUUCAGAUACUUGGACUGCAUCAUCAGAAAGAAGGAAGGUCCAGAGUCACCAGGUUAAAGUGAUGGCUUUGUUCUCCUCACCCUGCUUGUUCCUAAGUCUCCCAAACCUUCCCUAUAGUGGGUCCUGACCUUACUGUUGGCCUCACUGAGUCCCAGACUUGUCUUUCACUGUCUUCUAGGCAGGAGUUUUAUUUCCCUGACAAGAGAGGAGAAACCAAGGGCAAGGGCCAGUUCUCCUCUUCUUUUGGCCACCAGUGGCUAUAUUAGCUGUAUACUUUCAACAAGUCACCUCACCUAUCUGGGACUCAGUUUUCUUUUCUGUAAAACUGGGACCUAUGAUUCCUAGCUGGUAAGGGUUACUUUAAAACACAAAGAUAUAAUCUGUGUGACUAUACCCAACACAAAGCCUGACACAAGGUCACUAAUACAUAAAUACAAGUUGAAUUAUACCCAG